rnacentral:rRNA from 1 species
CCUACGGGGCGCACCAGUGGGGAAUAUUGGACAAUGGGCGAAAGCCUGAUCCAGCAAUGCCGCUUGUGUGAAGAAGGCCUUCGGAUUGUAAAGCACUUUCGACGGGGACGAUGAUGACGGUACCCGUAGAAGAAGCCCCGGCUAACUUCGUGCCAGCAGCCGCGGUAAUACGAAGGGGGCUAGCGUUGCUCGGAAUGACUGGGCGUAAAGGGCGCGUAGGCGGUUUAUGCAGUCAGAUGUGAAAUCCCCGGGCUUAACCUGGGAACUACAUUUGAGACGCAUAGACUAGAGGUCGAGAGAGGGUUGUGGAAUUCCCAGUGCAGAGGUGAAACUCGUAGAUAUUGGGAAGAACACCGGCGGCGAAGGUGGCAACCUGGCUCGAUACUGACGCUGAGGCGCGAAAGCGUGGGGAGCAAACAGGAUUAGAUACCCCUGUAGUC